ensembl:lncRNA
UUGUGAAUGAUCGUCUGUAUGUUUCUGAUGUAUGCUUCAUCAGAUGGACAGCAGCUGUCCACCACAAGCUCAUCAGCUCAAAGGAAAAAGAAGACUGUCACAACACAAAGACAAGAUGAUGAUGACUCCGCAGGAUGGUCACUUGGGAAGAGACAAUGUCAAACUUGAAGAGCAAGACAUGCAGAUGAUGGUAAUGCUGAUGAGGAUGACGGGAGUGAUGACAUCAGUCAAGGCAUUGAAGACACAGAUGGACUGGUGCACCAGGAGAUAGGUGGAGGACAAAUGGAGAGAACUGCAGAAAAACAUGAUGAUGAUGGACAGGAGCCACACUCAACUUCAGGAAGCUCAUCUGCUGAUAAACCAAAGAGGAUUACAACAUCUAGACUGAAUGAUGUUGGUGAUGAUGAAGAUAGCGGUGACUCUGAGCAUGAUGAAAAGUAUCAAAAAGGGCGUGCUAAGAGGCUAAAGCAAUCCCCUAAGAAGAGCCAGAAGAAGACUGCCGUUAUAAGACAAUGCAGUGAUGUUGAUGCUCCAGAAAGGGUAGUGAAGAACCGAGGUAAGAGACCCUGGAAUGACCAGGAGAGGACGGCAGUCAAACGACGCCUUGCCAAGUCAAUCGCCCUUAAAAUGGUUCCAGGAAAGCAGGACUGCCUGAUGUGCAUUGCCAAAGAGUCUCCAGUCCUAAGUGCGCAGAAGUGGAAAGACGUGAAGUAUUUUGUAUACAACGAAAUUCUUAAAGUUAAAAGAAAGCUUGCAUUAUGAAUGAAUUGACUGAGUUUCCUCCCUCUGUUGUAUUUCCGUGUUUUAAAGGGUGAAUUGUCUGUUAGUUUGUUCAUUUGUUAGCACUCUAACAACUUGAACAAUAAUAAUAAAUGCUGGUUUAUUUAUUAUGUCUGCCA